CGUUGAGGCGGUUCCGUAAGUUGGACGUGAAAGCCCGAGCUCAACUCGGGAGGCCGUUCAAUACUGCGGGACUUGAGGGCAGCAGAGGGAGGUGGAAUUCCCGGUGUAGUGGUGAAAUGCGUAGAUAUCGGGAGGAACACCAGUGGCGAAGGCGGCCUCCUGGGCUGUUCCUGACGCUGAAGGCGAAAGCUAGGGUAGCGAACG
rnacentral:rRNA from 1 species